rnacentral:lncRNA from 1 species
GAGAUUUCCAGUUGGAGAGUUUAAGGCAAAAAUAUGGAUAUGAUUGAGAUUAAUUGGUUGAUUAAUUAACAUAUAAUUGCUUUUUUUCCCCACAUGUCAACCAUAUAUUAAGUGUCUAGAUUUAUGUCUUUUACUUAUCCUAGGUGCAUAGUCUUUUGUUUAUAUAUUUAGAACUUUUCUAUUAAUGUGGUUAGAUUUUAGUGUGUGUGGAAGUAAUAGUUAUUAUCCUAAAAUUCUCUAUUAGCAUGCAUAUGUAUAAGCCUCUUUGUAAGGAUAUUAUGUAAGUGAAAUUUUCCUAAUUAUAUCAAAUGAGCUUAAUAUUUAUCUCACUCUUCCAUUCUCUUUGUGCCUAUGAUAUUAUAAAGAGUUCGCUUUAUAUUUCCAACUAGUGGUAUCAAAAUGUUGAAUCAAUCUUAAUAGGUACUAACAUGAAGAUUUUGGCAGUCUCUUUGAAGAUGUGUUUUCAAAUUUGAGGACCCACUCAGAGGCCGGAUAUUUUCAAAAGAAGAGUAAAUUCUCCAGAUUUGUGAAAAGAAUAACUCGAUCGUCAAGAAGAUGUAGGUGUUGAAGGACUUCACAAGAUAGGAAGAGAAGACAAGAGAAUCUUUCUGUGAGUUGGGUUUGCGAUAGACAAAAGUUAGAAGGUAAUGGAGAAUGAAUUUGUCAUUUGUUGUAAAUGUGUAAACUAAGAGGCUCCUGAAAAUGAAGUUCAAAUUAUCAAAAAGGAUUGAAAAAUAUGAAAAGAUACAGUUAGUUUUUAGGGGGAUUAAUGUUGAAAAUGGUAAACUUAAUGUGUCCAGAUUCAUGUCUUUUAGUUAUCCUAUGAACAUGAUCUUUUAUAUUACUCAUAUCUAGAUAACUUUAUCGUAUCAAUGUGAUUAGACUCAAGUAAGUUUGUGAAAGUACUUAAAGAAGUGUUAUUCUGGAAGAUUAUAUUAGCACCUAUAUAAACCCCUUUCUAAGAUAAUUAUGUAAAAGUGGAGUUCUUCUAAUGAUAUCAAAUGAGCUUAAUGUUUAUCUGAGUUUUUCAGUCUUUUCUGUGCCCUAUGAUAUUAUCAAGAGUCCACUUUACAUUUCCAGCAGGAAAUACAAGAAAAUGUAACAGUUACAGAUUUUAGCGAAAGAAAUUCUUCUGACUAAUAUGAAUCAUAAAUUGUUCUAAUGAGAUAAUUCAAUCAAUCUUUUUAGACUUGAUUUCUGCUUUUGAUGAGAUCCAUGGUGGGGGUUCAGGAGAUCCUUACAAUUUUUCCCAAAACAAGAAGUCGUUGCUUGGAAAGAUUAUGAGACUUGAUGUCGAUAGCACACCAAGUAAGUUGUCUUCAAGUUCAUGAAAACAACUAUUGUCAUACGAUUUGUAGUUUUUCUUAUAUCCAUUUGUGUAUGCUAACUUUGACUGUCUUGCCACUACUCUAACCUAUCAUAAUGCGUGUUGUUAAAAGAGUCUAAACCAUUAUCAAAAUCUUUGUAGUCCCAAUUAGGAAAUAGCAGACUGUCGUCUUAGUCAUCUUUGCCAAGUACAAAAAGAAAAGCUCAUUGCAAGUAAAUGAAUCAUUCCUGAUAUUUCAACUUUGGCAGAAUUUUAGCUGCUUAUUUUCUUUCCAAAACCUUUGUUUGUUGAUCCCCGUAGUGUCAAAUUGUUUGAGAGUGACGCGUUCUAUGAUGGAAAUGAAGCACGUUUUAUUCAGUUGACUUGCCCCUUAGUUUAUAUGUUGGUGUCUUAGGUGCUGCAGAGAUUACCAAGC